GAGGCUGGUACGGCAGAAGCCAAACACUCCUCGCACUUCAGUGAGUGCAACUAGUCGCCUCUCAUGCACAGGAACGCAAAAACUUUCCCUGGCAAGGGACGGGACUUCCCUAAGAAAAGGCUAAUCUUGGAUGUUCAAUAUGGAUCUGGAGGAGGGAACCCCACCUGGACGAAACUGGGCCAGGUUUCCUAGCACCGAUUGGAACUCUGGAAUAAUAUAGUAUGAGAUGGUCGUGAGUUUCUCAGCUUCUAAUUUUAAUCUGAUUGUCAAUAUGUAAUCCUACGCUUGCCCUCAAGCCACACAGUCAUGACAGUGAUGCAUUGUGCUUGAAGUGGGAAUCUCUGCCACAGCCUUCAGCCUGUAAUGAGAGGAUAGACUGUGGACAUGAUGCAGAACUGGAAAGGGUAACCAUCUUUCUUUUUGCUCAUCCAUCGCAAUGGAAAUAUCUGAACUAUUUUGGCUUCCCUACAGGAAAAUAUUAAUUGAUUUCUUGCUUGUUUAAUAUCUUAAUGACAGAGUCAAAAUUUGGGAUUGGGGAUUCUUUUUGUGGUGAUGGGGUUGUUGCCUAUGGAGGUCUAAGGAACAAAGCUGAAAAACAUCAAACCACAGCUUCCAGAAGAUUUGAGGGCAAAAUUAGGAGGGAUAUUGCAAUA